GACGAACGCUGGCGGCGUGCUUAACACAUGCAAGUCGAGCGGUAAGGCCCUUUCGGGGGUACACGAGCGGCGAACGGGUGAGUAACACGUGGGUGACCUGCCCUCAGCUCUGGGAUAAGCCCGGGAAACUGGGUCUAAUACCGGAUAUGACUUCAUGACGCAUGUUGUGGAGUGGAAAGCCUUGUGCGGCUGAGGAUGGGCCCGCGGCCUAUCAGCUUGUUGGUGGGGNGAUGGCCUACCAAGGCGACGACGGGUAGCCGGCCUGAGAGGGCGACCGGCCACACUGGGACUGAGACACGGCCCAGACUCCUACGGGAGGCAGCAGUGGGGAAUCUUGCGCAAUGGGCGAAAGCCUGACGCAGCGACGCCGCGU
rnacentral:rRNA from 1 species